rnacentral:rRNA from 1 species
GACGAACGCUGGCGGCGUGCUUAACACAUGCAAGUCGAACGAAGUGGCGAACGGGUGAGUAACGCGUAAUCAACCUGCCCUUCAGAGGGGGACAACAGUUGGAAACGACUGCUAAUACCGCAUACUGAAGGAGGGGUUUGCGUGUGAUUAGCUAGUUGGAGGGGUAACGGCCCCCCAAGGCGAUGAUCUGUAGCCGGGCUGGGAUGAUGAACGGCCACAAUGGGACCUAGACACGGCCCAGACUCCCACGGGAGGCAGCGAGGGGGAUUCUUCCGCAAUGGACGAAAGUCUGACUGAGCAACGCCGCGGGAGUGAUGACGGCCUUCGGGUUGGAAAGCUAUGUUAAUCGGGGCGCGGGACCGGAAUAGAAAGCCACGGCUAACUACGUGCCAGCAGCCGCGGUAAUUC